rnacentral:rRNA from 1 species
UACGUAGGGCGCAAGCGUUGUCCGGAAUUAUUGGGCGUAAAGAGCUCGUAGGCGGCUUGUCACGUCGGAUGUGAAAGCCCGAGGCUUAACCUCGGGUCUGCAUUCGAUACGGGCUAGCUAGAGUGUGGUAGGGGAGAUCGGAAUUCCUGGUGUAGCGGUGAAAUGCGCAGAUAUCAGGAGGAACACCAGUGGCGAAGGCGCCGCUCUGGGCCGAGACUGACGCUGAGGAGCGAAAGCGUGGGGAGCGAACAGG